rnacentral:rRNA from 1 species
CGGACGGGUGAGUAACGCGUGAGGAACCUGCCUUUCAGAGGGGGACAACAGUUGGAAACGACUGCUAAUACCGCAUAACAUAUGUUUGUCGCAUGGCAGAUAUAUCAAAGAUUUAUCGCUGAGAGAUGGCCUCGCGUCUGAUUAGCUGGUUGGUAGGGUAACGGCCUACCAAGGCGACGAUCAGUAGCCGGACUGAGAGGUUGGCCGGCCACAUUGGGACUGAGAUACGGCCCAGACUCCUACGGGAGGCAGCAGUGGGGAAUAUUGGGCAAUGGGCGCAAGCCUGACCCAGCAACGCCGCGUGAAGGAAGAAGGCUUUCGGGUUGUAAACUUCUUUUAAGAGGGAAGAGCAGAAGACGGUACCUCUUGAAUAAGCUCCGGCUAACUACGUGCCAGCAGCCGCGGUAAUACGUAGGGAGCGAGCGUUGUCCGGAUUUACUGGGUGUAAAGGGCGUGCAGCCGGGAGUACAAGUCAGAUGUGAAAUCCCGCGGCUCAACCGCGGAACUGCAUUUGAAACUGUAUUUCUUGAGUACUGGAGAGGCAGACGGAAUUCCUAGUGUAGCGGUGAAAUGCGUAGAUAUUAGGAGGAACACCAGUGGCGAAGGCGGUCUGCUGGACAGCAACUGACGGUGAGGCGCAAAAGCGUGGGGAGCAAACAGGAUUAGAUACCCUGGUAGUCCACGCUGUAAACGAUGGAUACUAGGUGUGCGGGGACUGACCCCCUGCGUGCCGCAGCCAACGCAGUAAGU